UACAGAGGGUGCGAGCGUUACCCGGACUUACUGGGCGUAAAGCGUGCGUAGACGGUUGUUUAAGUCGGGUGUGAAAGCCCCGGGCUCAACCUGGGAAUUGCAUUCGAGACUGAAUAGCUAGGGUACGGUAGAGGGAAGCGGAAUUUCCGGUGUAGCGGUGAAAUGCGUAGAUAUCGGAAGGAACAUCAGUGGCGAAAGCGGCUUCCUGGACCAGUACCGACGUUCAGGCACGAAAGCGUGGGGAGCAAACAGG
rnacentral:rRNA from 1 species